rnacentral:lncRNA from 1 species
CAUGAAACAACUUAUUUCACUCUCAAAGCAACUUUGUCGAGGUGUUGUUUUUAGUGCAACUUUGCUGCAGUAGAUUCCGCUUUUUACUCUCGAUGAAAGGUUUCCUAUAUGGCUGAUCGAAUUUUGCUUAUCCUUGCUGAUCAAUACUACUGCAGUAGAUUCCUCUUAUUGUUUCCAUUAAAAUUUCACCCAUUAACUUUACCUUUUAGCUUUUAAUGGUAAUAUAUUUGUUGGCAUUCUCUUGUGUCCAAAGAGAUUCUUCCUCAGUGCCUUCAUCCUGUGCAGUACACUAUUUUUCAAAUGUUUACAGUAGAAUGUAUGGCUGCAUGUAGUGAUAGCUUAGUUUUGCAUGGUGUUGAAUCUUUUGUGAUCAUGCACGCAUAGACCAAAAUAUUUGACUUCAAAGCUUGGACCAAGCUAAUAUGACCUGUAAAAAAGAAAGGAGGGAUGAGUACAGAGUAUUAUGUGAUGAAAUUGUGCAAGGACAUAGCGGAGCGUGCUCCAAAGCUUGACAUUGUGGUCACAAACAAGCUUGCUAGGCUUCACGGCGACGACUAAUGUGCAAUCAGGCCCUAUGUGCAAGCGUGCAAGUGAGCAUUCUGGUCCUUUAGAUCAUGAAUCAUGAUCUAACUAGCCAAGAAGAUUAGAUGACUAUAUGAUGUAGUAAAGAUUGCAAGUUUGGUUAAUUUGUCUGUAGGAAACUGCCCUGAUUGAAGAUUUCCUUUUCCCCCCUAUGAUAUUUUGUUGUAUGGAUUGCAAUGAGCUCAGCAUAGAGCAGCUACAAUUCCGAAUGAUGCUCUGCGACGUUAGCUUAGGUACCGCAGGGAGCAGGGUGCAAUAUCAUAGGGAUAUAGACUUUGCCAGCAAUCAGUUUUGCCAAAUGGCGCAGCAAAGUCCACAACUUAAGACCAAAAGUCCACAACCUAUAGACACAGGCAGGAACAUUUUAACAUUCUAG